rnacentral:rRNA from 1 species
GUACACGCUGUGACUAGCAUAUCAAUAAGCGGAGGAAAAGAAACUAACAAGGAUUCCCCUAGUAACGGCGAGUGAAGCGGGAAGAGCUCAAAUUUGAAAUCUUAAAGGGUUUCCCUUUACGAAUUGUAGUUUAAAGAAGUGUUUUCUGUUGAGGUUUUGGUAAAAGUUCUUUGGAAUAGGACAUCAUAGAGGGUGAGAAUCCCGUAUUUGACCUUUACUUUUCAACUUUGUGAUACACUUUCAAAGAGUCGGAUUGUUUGGGAAUGCAGUCCAAAAUGGGUGGUAAAUUUCAUCUAAGCUAAAUAUUGGCGAGAGACCGAUAGCGAACAAGUACCGUGAGGGAAAGAUGAAAAGAACUUUGAAAAGAGAGUUAAACAGUACGUGAAAUUGUCAAAAGGGAAGCGUUUGACACCAGUGUUGUUUUUCUGAAAAUCAAUUAAAGAACUGUUUAUGCUAAGCUGUUUAGACUUUAUCAGCUAUACUGUUUAGUUUUGAGCUUUUCUUUAAUGCACUUUUCAGUUAACAAGUCAACAUCAAUUUCUUUUGCUGUAAAAAAGCUUGAGGAAGGUGGCUUGAGAUUCGUCUUAAGUGUUUAUAGCCUCUUGCCUAUGCAGUCGGAGAGAUUGAGGUCUGCAGCGUAGAUCCUUCGGGGCUAAAUGCAUUUGUGCUAAGUUAUAGCAUUUUAUAGACAACUUGUUGGACUAUGAUUUGUCUUGUAGCUUACUCGCUUAUGUUAUUUUACCUACGCUUAGGAUGUUGACGAGACUGUCGAUCUC